GAUGAACGCUGGCGGCGUGCAUAACACAUUCAAGUCGAACGGAAUUUAGGACUUCGGUCUUGAAUUUAGUGGCGGACGGGUGAGUAACGCGCGAGCAAUCUGCCUUUCGGUGAGGAAUAACAGGGAGAAAUCGCUCCCAAUACCUCAUGACGCAAUCUAAUCGCAUGUUAGGAUUGCCAAAGAUUAAUCGACGAAAGAUGAGCUCGCGUCCGAUUAGGUAGUUGGUGAGAUAAAAGCCCACCAAGCCGACGAUCGGUAGCCGAAAUGAGAGGUUGAACGGCCACAUUGGAAAUGAGAUACGGUCCAGACUACUACGGGAGGCAGCAGUGGGGAAUAUUGGGCAAUGGGCGCAAGCCUGACCCAGCGACGCCGUGUGAGGGAAGAAGGUCUUCGGAUUGUAAACCUUUGUCAACAGGGACGAAACAAAUGACGGUACCUGUGGAGGAAGCCACGGCUAACUACGUGCCAGCAGCCGCAGUAAGAC
rnacentral:rRNA from 1 species